GACGAACGCUGGCGGCGUGCUUAACACAUGCCAGUCGAACGAUGAAGCAAAGAAUUGAAGCUUCGGCAGAAAUUCAUUUCGGAUUAGUGGCAGACGGGUGAGUAACGCGUGAGCAACCUACCUCUUACAAAGGGAUAGCCUCGGGAAACCGGGAUUAAUACCAUAUAACAUUGCGACGAAGCAUUUCGAUGCAAUCAAAGCUACGGCGGUAAGAGAUGGGCUCGCGUCCCAUUAACCAGAUGGUGAGGUAACGGCUCACCAUAGUAACGAUGGGUAACCGGCCUGAGAGGGUGAACGGUCACACUGGAACUGAGACACGGUCCAGACUCCUACGGGAGGCAGCAGUGGGGAAUAUUGCACAAUGGAGGGAACUCUGAUGCAGCGACGCCGCGUGAGUGAUGAAGGAAUUCGUUUCGUAAAACUCUGUUCUAUGGGAAGAAAAGGACUGUACCAUAGGAGAAAGCUCCGGCUAAAUACGUG
rnacentral:rRNA from 1 species